rnacentral:rRNA from 1 species
AGAGUUUGAUCCUGGCUCAGGAUGAACGCUAGCGACAGGCUUAACACAUGCAAGUCGAGGGGCAGCACAGGUAGCAAUACCGGGUGGCGACCGGCGCACGGGUGAGUAACGCGUAUGCAACUUACCUAUCAGAGGGGGAUAACCCGGCGAAAGUCGGACUAAUACCGCAUGAAGCAGGGGCCCCGCAUGGGGAUAUUUGCUAAAGAUUCAUCGCUGAUAGAUAGGCAUGCGUUCCAUUAGGCAGUUGGCGGGGUAACGGCCCACCAAACCGACGAUGGAUAGGGGUUCUGAGAGGAAGGUCCCCCACAUUGGUACUGAGACACGGACCAAACUCCUACGGGAGGCAGCAGUGAGGAAUAUUGGUCAAUGGCCGAGAGGCUGAACCAGCCAAGUCGCGUGAAGGAAGAAGGAUCUAUGGUUUGUAAACUUCUUUUAUAGGGGAAUAAAGUGGAGGACGUGUCCUUUUUUGUAUGUACCCUAUGAAUAAGCAUCGGCUAACUCCGUGCCAGCAGCCGCGGUAAUACGGAGGAUGCGAGCGUUAUCCGGAUUUAUUGGGUUUAAAGGGUGCGUAGGCGGCACGCCAAGUCAGCGGUGAAAUUUUCGGGCUCAACCCGGACUGUGCCGUUGAAACUGGCGAGCUAGAGUGCACAAGAGGCAGGCGGAAUGCGUGGUGUAGCGGUGAAAUGCAUAGAUAUCACGCAGAACCCCGAUUGCGAAGGCAGCCUGCUAGGGUGCGACAGACGCUGAGGCACGAAAGCGUGGGUAUCGAACAGGAUUAGAUACCCUGGUAGUCCACGCAGUAAACGAUGAAUACUAACUGUUUGCGAUACAAUGUAAGCGGUACAGCGAAAGCGUUAAGUAUUCCACCUGGGGAGUACGCCGGCAACGGUGAAACUCAA